GACGAACGCUGGCGGCGUGCUUAACACAUGCAAGUCGAACGGAAAGGCCCUGCUUUUGUGGGGUGCUCGAGUGGCGAACGGGUGAGUAACACGUGAGUAACCUGCCCUUGACUUUGGGAUAACUUCAGGAAACUGGGGCUAAUACCGGAUAGGAGCUCCUGCUGCAUGGUGGGGGUUGGAAAGUUUCGGCGGUUGGGGAUGGACUCGCGGCUUAUCAGCUUGUUGGUGGGGUAGUGGCUUACCAAGGCUUUGACGGGUAGCCGGCCUGAGAGGGUGACCGGCCACAUUGGGACUGAGAUACGGCCCAGACUCCUACGGGAGGCAGCAGUGGGGAAUAUUGCACAAUGGGCGGAAGCCUGAUGCAGCAACGCCGCGUGCGGGAUGACGGCCUUCGGGUUGUAAACCGCUUUCGCCUGUGACGAAGCGUGAGUGACGGUAAUGGGUAAAGAAGCACCGGCUAACUACGUGCCAGCAGCCGCGGUGAUACGUAGGGUGCGAGCGUUGUCCGGAUUUAUUGGGCGUAAAGGGCUCGUAGGUGGUUGAUCGCGUCGGAAGUGUAAUCUUGGGGCUUAACCCUGAGCGCGCUUUCGAUACGGGUUGACUUGAGGAAGGUAGGGGAGAAUGGAAUUCCUGGUGGAGCGGUGGAAUGCGCAGAUAUCAGGAGGAACACCAGUAGCGAAGGCGGUUCUCUGGGCCUUUCCUGACGCUGAGGAGCGAAAGCGUGGGGAGCGAACAGGCUUAGAUACCCUGGUAGUCCACGCUGUAAACGGUGGGUACUAGGUGUGGGGUCCAUUCCACGGGUUCCGUGCCGUAGCUAACGCUUUAAGUACCCCGCCUGGGGAGUACGGCCGCAAGGCUAAAACUCAAAGGAAUUGACGGGGCCCCGCACAAGCGGCGGAGCAUGCGGAUUAAUUCGAUGCAACGCGUAGAACCUUACCUGGGUUUGACAUGGAUCGGGAGUGCUCAGAGAUGGGUGUGCCUCUUUUGGGGUCGGUUCACAGGUGGUGCAUGGCUGUCGUCAGCUCGUGUCGUGAGAUGUUGGGUUAAGUCCCGCAACGAGCGCAACCCUUGUUCACUGUUGCCAGCACGUUAUGGUGGGGACUCAGUGGAGACCGCCGGGGUCAACUCGGAGGAAGGUGGGGGUGACGUCAAGUCAUCAUGCCCCUUAUGUCCAGGGCUUCACGCAUGCUACAAUGGCUGGUACAGAGAGUGGCGAGCCUGUGAGGGUGAGCGAAUCUCGGAAAGCCGGUCUCAGUUCGGAUUGGGGUCUGCAACUCGACCUCAUGAAGUCGGAGUCGCUAGUAAUCGCAGAUCAGCAACGCUGCGGUGAAUACGUUCCCGGGGCU
rnacentral:rRNA from 1 species